rnacentral:tRNA from 1 species
GGGGAUGUGGCUCAGUGAUAGAGCUUCCGCUUGGCAGGCAAAAGGUCCCGGGUUCUGUCCUCAGCACCUCCA